rnacentral:lncRNA from 1 species
UUUCGUCGGAAAAAUAUGUUUGAUUAAACAUAGGGAAUCACUGAAGCAUGACUGGAGCGAGCUCCCCUUAGCUCAGUCAGCCCCCCCCCCCCCCCCCCCCCGCUCUUCCCUCCUAAUGUAAAAUUAUAGAUUUUUUUUCGGUUUUCGGUCAUAGGACGGUUAAAAGAGGAGCUAUAUGUAGAUAAAAAUUUAUGAAUGUAUAACUAUUAAUAAAUCUUCUGAAUAUAGUAAUACAUAAACAACACAUAUUUGUGAUACAGAAUUUACUCAAAAUUGUCCAAAAUCUGCUCUUCGGGUCUGGGCAGAAACAAACUUCUCUAUUACUUUGUCAACAUUCACACUGAAAUCCCGAUGAAUAUGCAGUAAUGCUAUGUAACUUUCGUUGUUCAUUGUUGAUCGUACAUUUGUUUUCAAUUACAUACGUAGUACCGUGACUGAUAGAUCUCAGGGCCAUCAUGGCAUGGUAGCACUCGCGAGAUGUUAUAAACCAGCGUACGUGUUCGGCAUCGAGCGACCUCCCAAUUGAAUUCGUCAAAAUUACAUGCUAGGUCAGUUUCGUAUGUUUCAGACAAUAUUGAGAUUUGUUCGUUUGUGAUAUUUCCUACAACACGAUGAAGCAGUUACAACACAAAGAAGCGAUUUUCUGAUAACUUGACGCGACUCCACUCUCCAGUUGCCUUAUCAUAUGGUCUAUGAACGCAAAAAAAUAAUGAGACUUUCCAAUACUGUUUUGGCGUGGUUGCAGGGUGAUUGGCUCCGGUAGUCUGUCAACCACAUCGCCUCGGCAUAUUUUCAACGAUAUCGAAGAGAUCUGAUAAUUCUAAUGCCGAUUGGUACAUCUCAUUCCAAACUGAUGAACUGUACACUGUAAAAUGUGC